GGUCUGGUAGCUCAGUUGGAUAGAGCAACUGCCUUCUAAGCAGUAGGUCUCGGGUUCGAGUCCCGACCGGAUCACCA
rnacentral:tRNA from 1 species